CUUUUUUUAUAUUUUUUUUUUUUACUGCAAUGAAGAACCGCGCGCGUGCUAUACAUGCAAGUCGAACGCUUCUUUCCUCCCGAGUGCUUGCACUCAAUAGGAAGAGGAGUGGCGGACGGGUGAGUAACACGUGGGUAACUACCCAUCAGAGGGGGAUGACACUUGGAAACAGGUGCUAAUACCGCAUAACAGUUUAUGCCGCAUGGCAUCAGAGUGAAAGGCGCUUUCGGGUGUCGCUGAUGGAUGGACCCGCGGUGCAUUAGCUAGUUGGUGAGGUAACGGCUCACCAAGGCCACGAUGCAUAGCCGACCUGAGAGGGUGAUCGGCCACACUGGGACUGAGACACGGCCCAGACUCCUACGGGAGGCAGCAGUAGGGAAUCUUCGGCAAUGGACGAAAGUCUGACCGAGCAACGCCGCGUGAGUGAAGAAGGUUUUCGGAUCGUAAAACUCUGUUGUUAGAGAAGAACAAGGACGUUAGUAACUGAACGUCCCCUGACGGUAUCUAACCAGAAAGCCACGGCUAACUACGUGCCAGCAGCCGCGGUAAUACGUAGGUGGCCAGCGUUGUCCGGAUUUAUUGGGCGUAAAGCGAGCGCAGGCGGUUUCUUAAGUCUGAUGUGAAAGCCCCCGGCUCAACCGGGGAGGGUCAUUGGAAACUGGGAGACUUGAGUGCAGAAGAGGAGAGUGGAAUUCCAUGUGCACCGGUGAAAUGCGUAGAUAUCACGGACGGAACACCAGUGACGAAGGCGGCUCUCUGGUCUGUAACUGACGCUGAGGCUCGAAAGCGUGGGGAGCAAACAGGAUUAGAUACCCUGGUAGUCCACGCCGUAAACGAUGAGUGCUAAGUGUUGGAGGGUUUCCGCCCUUCAGUGCUGCAGCAAACGCAUUAAGCACUCCGCCGGGGGAGUACGACCCGCCCAAAGUCGACUAGUGACCCAAAGGAAUUGACGGGGGCCCGCACAAGCGGUGGAGCAGGUGGUUUAAUUCGAAGCAACGCGAAAAACCUUACCAGGUCUUGACAUCCUUUGACCACUCUAAAGAUAGAGCUUUCCCUUCGGGGACAAAGUGACAGGUGGUGCAUGGUUGUCGUCAGCUCGUGUCGUGAGAUGUUGGGUUAAGUCCCGCAACGAGCGCAACCCUUAUUGUUAGUUGCCAUCAUUUAGUUGGGCACUCUAGCGAGACUGCCGGUGACAAACCGGGAGGAAGGGGGGGGAUGACGUCAAAUCAUCAUGCCCCUUAUGACCUGGGCUACACACGUGCUACAAUGGGAAGUACAACGAGUCGCUAGACCGCGAGGUCAUGCAAAUCUCUUAAAGCUUCUCUCAGUUCGGAUUGCAGGCUGCAACUCGCCUGCAUGAAGCCGGAAUCGCUAGUAAUCGCGGAUCAGCACGCCGCGGUGAAUACGUUCCCGGGCCUUGUACACACCGCCCGUCACACCACGAGAGUUUGUAACACCCGAAGUCGGUGAGGUAACCUUUUUGGAGGCAGCCGCCUAAUGGGGGAUAGAUGAUGGGGUGAUCGCGGGGGGGGCCCCAAAAAAAAAAAAA
rnacentral:rRNA from 1 species